AUGCCAGACCUGCCUGAAAUCCUUCUUCCUGAAAGCUCAGACACCUGUCAACCCCUAGGAUGCCAGACCUGGUUCCUGGAAGAGAAAGCCCCAAGCAAGUCCCACCCUUCUCCUUCCCAUCGCAGCUCUGUCCUAGAGCUCAAGCCAGGGGUCCAAGCUCUGUCUUCCCACCUCCUGCAGAGCAACCGCUACUUGGCCAUCCUUUGUCUUAGACAUCCACCCAGCCAAUGGAUCUGGGGUCAAGGUCCUGGGAGCCGGCUUGCAGCUGUUGAGACAGGAAAUCCAAAGGCCCAGCUCCCAGGCCACACUCACCUUUGUCCUGAGGAAUCACUUUCCAUUUCAUCCUGGAACAAGAAGGCGCUCCAAAGAGCAGAGAGAAGUCUCCAUCCACGGAAAAGGAACAGCUGCUCUGUAAAUUGUUCCAGGGCAAUUCUUAACUCUUGCGAGUUAGCAUGAGUUGGCCCCUUUGAGACCAGGUACCCUGGAGUAUCUUUGAUCCUCUUGCCCUAGACUUUAAAAAAAAAAAAAAUUAUUGGGGUAUAGUUGAUUUACAAUGUUGUGUUAGUUUCUGCUGUACAUCAGAGUGAAUCAGUUAUACGUAUACAUAUAUCCCCUCUUUUCUAGAUUCUUUCCUCAUAUAGGUCAUCACAGAGUAUUGAGUAGACAGAGUUCCCUGUGCUACACAGUAGGUCCUUAACUAUCUAUUUUAUAUACAGUGUGUAUAUGUCAAUCCCAAUCUCCCAGUUGAUCCUUCCUCCCUUCCCCCUUGGUAACCAUAAGUUUGUUUUAUGCAUCUGUGACUCUUUUUCUGUUUUAUAAAUAGGUUCAUUUGUACCAUUUUUUUUUUAGAUUCUACAUACAAGCAAUGUCAUAGAAUAUUUGGCUUUCUCUGUCUGACUUACUUCACUUGGUAUGACAAUCUCUCUCAUGUUGCUGCAAAUGGCAUUAUUUUGGUCUUCUUAAUGGCCGAGUAAUAUUCCAUUGCAUACCUUAGGGUGGCCAAGAGGUUCAUUCAGGUUUUCCCCUAACAUGUUAUGGAAACACCCAAAUGAACUUUUUGGUCAGCCCAGUAUAUACACAUCUUCAUUAUCUACUCCGCCAUGGAUGACACUUAGGUUUGUUUCCAUGUCCUAGCUACUGUAAACAGUGCCGCAAUGAGCACCGUGGUGCACGCCCCUAGACUUUUGCCUUAGACUUGUAACAGGACCACUAUUGGCUUUUGUGGGAUGAGCCUUCCUGUGUGGGAUUGUCCUACUCAUUGCAGGAUGUUUCGAUGAGCCCUGGUCCAGACCCACGGAUUCUUGAGAGCUAGGAGCAGCUCUUAGUCAUGAAGACGACGAAAGCCCCCUUUCCCAUGUGCAACAAAGCCUUUCUGGCUGGGAACCAUGGCUCACAUAGCCCAUCGGGAGACGCAGGCAUGAGAAUAGACAGAUACAACAGACCAGACAGGAAAGGAGGCAGAUAAACCAUCCUGGGGGGCGGCCAGGACAGUUUAUGAUAAACCUGACAUACUUCUGCAAAUUGACACAAUCAUCAAAAGUGGCAUUUGAUUCUUUUCUUUCCAUAAGAGAAGUGAAGACACCUUUGAACCCAGCUGCC
ensembl:lincRNA